UCGAAUGCAAUGAAGAAAGAAGAGUAGUCUUUGGCCACCGUCAGCGAGUCCUGCUAGGUGUGAGAGGAUCGGUUAAAGUCUUAGGCGAAAAUCACUUUCUAGUUUUCAUCCUUAAACCAAGUAAGGAUGGAUGGUCGCACCCAUUACCGUGCACGCGUAUCGCUCCAGCUUAAAUGGGGCCGUACGUAAAAGACCGUGUCAGCGAUGGCAUGGUGAAUCAGGGUGGUACCACGCGAUUGCGUCCCUUGG
rnacentral:ncRNA from 1 species